rnacentral:tRNA from 3 species
GGGGCUAUCGUCUAGCUUGGCAGGAUACCAGCCCGGGGCGCUGGCGGUCGAGGGUUCGAAUCCCUCUGGCCCCA